rnacentral:rRNA from 1 species
GGGUCAGUAGGUUGGUCGUGCCACCGGUACGUACUGGUCUCACUGAUUCCUCCUUCCUGAAGAACCGUAAUGCCAUUAAUUGGGUGUUGCGGGGAAACAGGACUGUUACUUUGAAAAACUUAGAGUGUUUAAAGCAAGCUAACGCUUGAAUACAUUAGCAUGGAAUAAUGAAAUAGGACGAUCGAUCCUAUUUUGUUGGUUUCUAGGAUUGACGUA